GAUAAACGCUGGCGGCGUGCCUAAUACAUGCAAGUCGAGCGAACGGACGAGAAGCUUGCUUCUCUGAUGUUAGCGGCGGACGGGUGAGUAACACGUGGAUAACCUACCUAUAAGACUGGGAUAACUUCGGGAAACCGGAGCUAAUACCGGAUAAUAUUUUGAACCGCAUGGUUCAAAAGUGAAAGACGGUCUUGCUGUCACUUAUAGAUGGAUCCGCGCUGCAUUAGCUAGUUGGUAAGGUAACGGCUUACCAAGGCAACGAUGCAUAGCCGACCUGAGAGGGUGAUCGGCCACACUGGAACUGAGACACGGUCCAGACUCCUACGGGAGGCAGCAGUAGGGAAUCUUCCGCAAUGGGCGAAAGCCUGACGGAGCAACGCCGCGUGAGUGAUGAAGGUCUUCGGAUCGUAAAACUCUGUUAUUAGGGAAGAACAUAUGUGUAAGUAACUGUGCACAUCUUGACGGUACCUAAUCAGAAAGCCACGGCUAACUACGUGCCAGCAGCCGCGGUAAUACGUAGGUGGCAAGCGUUAUCCGGAAUUAUUGGGCGUAAAGCGCGCGUAGGCGGUUUUUUUAAGUCUGAUGUGAAAGCCCACGGCUCAACCGUGGAGGGUCAUUGGAAACUGGAAAACUUGAGUGCAGAAGAGGAAAGUGGAAUUCCAUGUGUAGCGGUGAAAUGCGCAGAGAUAUGGAGGAACACCAGUGGCGAAGGCGACUUUCUGGUCUGUAACUGACGCUGAUGUGCGAAAGCGUGGGGAUCAAACAGGAUUAGAUACCCUGGUAGUCCACGCCGUAAACGAUGAGUGCUAAGUGUUAGGGGGUUUCCGCCCCUUAGUGCUGCAGCUAACACAUUAAGCACUCCGCCUGGGGAGUACGACCGCAAGGUUGAAACUCAAAGGAAUUGACGGGGACCCGCACAAGCGGUGGAGCAUGUGGUUUAAUUCGAAGCAACGCGAAGAACCUUACCAAAUCUUGACAUCCUUUGACAACUCUAGAGAUAGAGCCUUCCCCUUCGGGGGACAAAGUGACAGGUGGUGCAUGGUUGUCGUCAGCUCGUGUCGUGAGAUGUUGGGUUAAGUCCCGCAACGAGCGCAACCCUUAAGCUUAGUUGCCAUCAUUAAGUUGGGCACUCUAAGUUGACUGCCGGUGACAAACCGGAGGAAGGUGGGGAUGACGUCAAAUCAUCAUGCCCCUUAUGAUUUGGGCUACACACGUGCUACAAUGGACAAUACAAAGGGCAGCGAAACCGCGAGGUCAAGCAAAUCCCAUAAAGUUGUUCUCAGUUCGGAUUGUAGUCUGCAACUCGACUACAUGAAGCUGGAAUCGCUAGUAAUCGUAGAUCAGCAUGCUACGGUGAAUACGUUCCCGGGUCU
rnacentral:rRNA from 1 species